GAUGCAAAUGAUUGAUUUUGGGGAAGUGUUUCCUAUGGGGGAGCGUGGUCCUUGCCCGUGCAUAGAACCCAUUAAUAGAGCAUACAAAAGCGUUAGGCAGAUGGUCCUUCUCGAAUUUCAUGGUGGUGGGAUGGUCAUUUCUCCCCCAUAUGUUUGGGCACAACCCCUAUACUCCCCACAUAAACCAUUUUUCAUAUAUAUAUAUAUAUAUAUAUUUGUGUGUGUGUUUUGCAAAAUAAAAAAUAAAAAACUCUAAAUAUUCAACUAUUCAAAUUCCCUUAUCACUCUUCCACGAACAAUAGAUCAAAUUUUUUACUUUUAUGGACGGGAUGGUCAAUGUCGAUUCCCAAUCCAAUUCACCGAAUUUUUAAACCUUGAUGUAAUCCCAUACUCCGGCUGAUACUCUUUGAGUUGAGCUCAAAAGCAAAUGGUGAUACAGCUUUCCAUAUAACAAAAAAGAAAAUGAUGUACUCAUGCAUAGUUUUGAAUGUGGUAAAACGAAUCCUUUUUCGACUCUGACUCUCCCAUUCCAAUCGUUGCUUUUCUUUCUAUUACUUUGAAAUAGUUGCUGUAUGAGAGCACAUAUGCCAACAUCCCCUUUGUCUCUCUCUUCUUCUCUAAUAAUGGAUGGAAUAUCUUUUCUAUGUCAAUUCAUAAGAAAACGAGGAGAGAGAGAUACACACAGGAAAUGCUGACUUAGGCCACGCUCUCAAACAGAAAAAAUAUAGUAGCACUUCAUUGGCCGUUAGGGAGAAAGGCCAAGAAGGGAUGCACCAGGGGCGGUGGUGGACUUCCCCUAGAGGUAAGGCACUGGGCAGGGCCGCAGGAGUAAGCAAUGAAACACUAUAGAAGUCGAAAAGCUAACAAUCAAAUACGAGUGGUUUUCAUUACUUUGAGGGUCCCAAAAGAAAUAAAAUAAUUGAUUGAUGCCAACAGAUCGAAGAAGAAUUCUUCCCACCACUUCACCAACAAGAAUAAGUCUAUAAGAGGGUCAUCCUCAUCCCAGUGGAAAAGAAAGAAAUAAGGAAAACGGUUGGGUGGAGGGAAGCGUGGAGGAGUUUUAAGUUUCUCAGCCUAAUCUCGCCUUUUUUUCAGGCCGUUCUAUAUCUGAAAAUGUCUUCAUGGUGCAUAAAGUUUUCCAUUAUAUUCGCUAGUAGAAAAAGGGAAAGUUAAAGUUGGCUGCCAUUAAGAUUGAUGGAAGGAAGGCAUAUGAUCACCUUGAUUGGGGCCUUAUUGAAGGUUUUCUCAUAAAGUUUGGCUUCAGUGAUCGGUGGAUCCAGAUGUGCAUGCAAUGUCUUUGGGCAGCCCACUUCAAACAGCAUUACCCAUGGUGAUUUUGUUCCUUCUUGUGGAAUCAGGUAGGGAGACCCCAUGGCCCCCUAUAUAUUUAUUCUAUGUACUCAAGAUCUUAGCUCCAUCCUUGCAAAUGUUGAAAGUCUUGGAGAUAUUCAUGGUAUUCGGGUUAAAUGUCAUCCACCUCUCACUUAUCUUCUUUAUGUAGAUGAUUGCAUUUUGUUCUCCAAGGUUGACCUUGCUGAGCUUAAAAUCCUUAAGCAGUGUCUGGAUCUCUGUUGUCGGGGUAGUGGGCAAGCCAUCAACAUUUCUAAGUCCUCCAUCACUUUCAUCUCAAAUACUUACCCUCGCAUCCGCAAAUGAUUGUCUAAGUCUUUGAAGAUCCCUCGUGUGGUUUCUUUUCAGAAUAUUUGGGCCUUCCUGUUGAUUUUUCUCAAAGCAAGAAGGUUUUAUUUAAAGACAUUUGAGAUCGCUCCAUGAGUCGUAUUGGUGAUUGGAAAGGCCAGCUCCUCUCUCACUCAGGAGCGCAUAUGUCGGUCUGAAGACAAAGGAGGGCUGGGCUUUUGGGACUCAAAGCUCCACAACAAGUCUCUCUGUUAAGUUUUUCUCGAAUUCUUGACCUGUUUUGAAGAUUGACCCGCUCCGACAUAUUUUGGUGGCGACUUGAAUGGGAAGUUUUCUGAGAUCUGUGAUGGAAGUAGAGGGGUUAGGCCGAUAGGCUCAAGGUCGGAGCCCAUUACUGAUCUUGUAUGGGGGUGGGGGGGCUAUACCCUUGCAGUAUGGUUUGACCGGAUAGACCGUGACCCGAUGGAUCGACCCGUGACUUGGAGUAUAUAUAGUGUACUGUUGCUUGUUGAGAAAGUCAUUGUAUUUGGGGGGUUUUUCGAGCUAGGGUUUCAGGGCAAGUUUUCUUGCCACU